rnacentral:rRNA from 1 species
UACAGAGGGGGCAAGCGUUUGUUCGGAAUUACUGGGCGUAAAGAGCUCGUAGGCGGUUCGGUAAGUCGGAUGUGAAAUCUCCACGCUCAACGUGGAGGGGCCAUUCGAUACUGCCGUGACUCGAGUCCGGUAGGGGAGUGUGGAAUUCCCGGUGUAGCGGUGAAAUGACGCAGAGAGUCGGGAGGAACACCCGUAGCGAAGGCGGCACUCUGGGCCGGUACUGACGCUGAGGAGCGAAAGCGUGGGGAGUGAACAGGGA